CAUAAUUCAAAUAAUCCAAAAAAAAUAAACCAAAUACCUUCCACCUCAAGCGUUUCACGUCGGGUUCACCAAAUAUGUUGUAUUAUGUGAAGUUUUGAUUGAGAAUGCACCGAGCACUUGGCUAUGGAAGGUAAAAGAAAAUUGCAACAAAAAGUCCUAACAAUCCAAUAGGAUUAUAGAAAAUUUAUAAUUAAACGUUAACAAUCAUAAUCAAACAAUA
rnacentral:pre_miRNA from 1 species